CAACAAUACAAAUUCUUUUAGCAUAAACCUGGUGCGAUCACGUUUGAUGACAGGCAGUCAGCUGACAAGCACGGUUAUUGGAGUCGUGACAAAGGAGCCAGAUAAUGAGAAGAGCUUAAAGAACCUACAUGAAAUAGGUACCGCUGGAGUUGUGGUUCAAGUUACUGGCACAAACUGGCCUCGGCCCGCGUACACACUGUUGGUGACGGGAUUUGCAGGUUUCGCUUGGACUCCAUCAUCCAGGAACACCCCUAUCCUGUGGGUGCUGUGACGCAGCUAGAUGAUAUCAAGGAGAUCAGCAGUGAAGGUGAUGACACACAACAUGCUGAGCUCAUUUCAGAAUUCAAGGAAGCGGCUCGCAAGUUGAUUGAACUUCUUGAUGUAUCUGUGCCAGCAGUUGCCAAACUGAAGGAGCUGGUGG